CUGAACUGCUGUCCCGUUUACACUAUUCAGGCUCGGAAGUUAGAAUGUUUGGAGGAAGGCCUAGGCCUAGUAGGAGCAUGUUCCCCACUGAAUUUCAAAUUAUAAAUGAUUUGGAAAAUGAUGCUGUAGCCCUAUUGAAAGCUGGCAUAGACAAUAACUGAUCUGCAUUAAUAUCACAGUACAGAAAUCAGCAAACCAAAAACGUAUAAUGCAGCACUGAUUUGAAUAAUUCUUUUGGAAUAAGAGAAAUUGGAUAAGAAGGAAAACGAUUGGCAACACUCAAUAUGUUUUUCGAUGAACUUAGCAUCUUACAAAAACUGACAAAAGUCAAUUAUUCAUUUCACAACACAGGGAGCACCCAACUAUUUUAACCUACCAUCUUGAAUAAAUCAAUGUCAUAAAUUUAUGUACAGUCAUUGUGCCAGUGUGCUAAAAAAUACUGAAGCAAAGACUGCUAUUUGGCCGAUUCCACCUAUAUGUUGAAAAGAAGAUGAUCAAGUUUUCAUGUACAAGGUAAUUUAUGAUUGAAAAAUGAUUAAUGCUGUAAUUGAAAAAUGUUUAAUUCCCUGAACGUUUCACAUCCAAAUCCCUGUGCCAAAAUAUAAAUGGUCCAGAGCAAAUUUUU
rnacentral:lncRNA from 1 species